GUUUGAAGAGGUUGCUGCCUGUGUUCUCCUCUAGGAUUUUGAUGGAUUCCUGUCUCACAUUUAGGCCAGCCUGUGGAGGCUCUUCUUGCCUGCUGUGGGAAACAUUUGGUCCCUGGCCUGAAUGUGAUGAACUUUAAGUAGGUGUGCUCUAGUCUGCUUGUGAAGUGAGAUUUGACACCAACUCCACCAGAACUGAGGCCCUGUGGAACUCUGAUCAGGAGAUUAAAUACCAAGUUUGAAGUGAUAAAGUAUUAGCCCUAUGAAUAUUCUGCAUGGAACAGCUACAGCCAUUCGGGCAGCCCCGGUGGUGCAGCGGUUUAGUGCCACCUGCAGCCCAGGGCGU